CGCAUCUGUGCAUGCAGCAUAUCAAUAAGCGGAGGAAAAGUACUACCUACGCUUAGGAUGUUGACACACGCGCGUGCUCGCAUCUAUACAUGACUAGGCAUAUCAAUAAGCGGAGGAAAAGAAACUAACAAGGAUUCCCUUAGUAACGGCGAGUGAAGCGGGAAGAGCUCAAAUUUGAAAUCUUCAAGGUUUUACCUUGACGAAUUGUAGUUUAAAGAAGUGUUUUCUGUUGAAGUUUUGGUAAAAGUUCUUUGGAAUAGGACAUCAUAGAGGGUGAGAAUCCCGUAUUUGACCAUUAUUUUCAGCUGUGUGAUACACUUUCAAAGAGUCGGAUUGUUUGGGAAUGCAGUCCAAAAUGGGUGGUAAAUUUCAUCUAAAGCUAAAUAUUGGCGAGAGACCGAUAGCGAACAAGUACCGUGAGGGAAGAUGAAAAGAACUUUGAAAAGAGAGUUAAACAGUACGUGAAAUUGUCAAAAGGGAAGCGUUUGACACCAGUGUUGUUUUCUCGAAAAUCAAUUAAAAAGAGUUAGAUUUUGUUGUGUAUUGACCUUAACAGCUUGCAUUUCAAUUUUCUUGCUUUUUUUAAUGCACUUUUCGUUUAACAAGUCAACAUCAGUUUCUUUUGUUGUAAAAAGGUCAUUGGAGGUGGCUUUCUUUUCGGAGAAAGUGUUUACAGCCUUUGACUCCUGCAAUCGGAGAGACUGAGGUCUGCAGCGUAGAUCCUUCGGGGUUAGAUACAUUUGUGCUAAGUUAUAGCUUUUUAUAGACAACUUGUUGACUAUGAUUAGUCUUGUAGCUUACUCGCUUAUGCUAUUUUACCUACGCUUAGGAUGUUGACACACGCGCGUGCUC
rnacentral:rRNA from 1 species